rnacentral:lncRNA from 1 species
CAGUCACAUAGUUCAAGAAGCAGGAAGUUCGAGCAGUACUGCAGUGAGUCAGCAAAAUGUUGUAGCUGUUCUGAGUGAGGCUCAUUCUGAAAUAUCUUCUCUCUUCUGUUAGAAGCAAUGUCUACAGGAGAGGAGAUGGAUAUGGGACUGAGGGAUGAUUGCAGAGCUUCAUUGUCUCUCAGGAAGGAGAUGAUCCAGCUCCAGCCCCGCCGCUGCUCUCCCCGUGCCAACUGUCCCAUUUGUUUAUUUGUGUUUACUCUUUCUAGGCCCUGCACAAAUAAAUGAGAUAAGUGAAUCCUGCGUGUGUGCGCUGAGAUGUUUUGAUUCGGACAGCAUCUGCAUGAGAUUCCUGUGACAUUCCGGAGUUUUCUGGCGGAUUCUGGGAAUUGGGGAGGACAAGGUUGGGUUUGUGAAUAGGAAUGCUUGGUGGUCUUAAUGAAUGGCAGAAAGGCUUUAACGAUGACACAUAUGAGUGACGGAUUGCUUGGGAGCGCUGGCAAGGGGAAUGUGUGAUGAAGUGUUUCAGUUGUUGCGAGUGAGGGUAUAUUUGUGCAGGUGGGAACAAGGGCUGCCUGGGUGCUCAGGGUGUGUGUGUGGCCACAUCUAAUAGUGAAUAGACUGGUGUGUGUGUGGUCAAAGCUGAUUUAGUCAAAUGGUGUGUAAGUGUGUGUGGCCUUGUGAGUGUGCUUUGUUUUAUUUUUUUUUUGAUGGUGAGAUAUCGGGACCCUAAGCAGAAUUGAGAAUGAUGGUGACUCAUAGCUGAUUGUCUAGAAGACUUAUGAGAACAGAGAGCUGGGGAGUGAUCCUAAGCUUGGAUCUGAGUGUAUACACUUAUGUGGGUUUUCAUCUGACAAAAUAUCCCUUUAGGGAAGGUCCCAAUGGUGAAUAUGCUUUGUAAGCAUAUUGCGUGGCAUUGUAUUUUAAGAGCUUCGUUUGUCUUGGCCAUAGUGCAAAGAAAAAUUGUGAAAUAUUGUAAAAUGACAGAAGCCUUGGGCAACUGGUUGAAAUGGUCAAUUGGUAAAGCGGUUUGUUAAUUGAACAACCUAACACCCAGUCAAUUAGUGGAGAUACUAAUAUAAUUUGCAUCCUACUUGCUUUUAUUUUUAACAAAUUAGUUAUUACUACAUGGUGAGCGUCAUGUAAUAUUCUUGAGACAUGCUGAUAAGGUUUGUAAUGUGAUCCCCAACUUUUCAUGUCCUGCUCAUACGUAAAAUAUAUAAAUUAUUAUGUAUUUGUUUUUGUUUAUUUUUAAUAAUUGUUUGUUUUUUGAGAAUUUAAUACACACACACACAUAUAUAUAUACACACAUUAUUAUUAUAAUACAUAUAUUUUGAAAGAAGUCUCUUAUACUCACUAAGAACACGUAUAACAAAAAUAAGUAAAUACAAAUUGUUCUAUUUUAA